rnacentral:tRNA from 1 species
UCCCUGAUAGCUCAGUUAGUAAAGAACCUGCCUGCAGAACAGGAGACCCUGGUUUGAUUCCUGGGUUGGGAA